rnacentral:snRNA from 1 species
GGAUGUGAAGGCAAUCUGACUGCAAUAUCUGCACCUCACUGAUGGCCAGGGUUGAUUCAGCUGAUCUGGCUGGCUAGGCUGGUGACCCUUCCUCCCUCGCCACUCCAUAUGUGUCCCUCCUGAAGCCACACACUUGGUCAAAAAGGAUGACCAUCUAUGAUAGAGGAGGACUGGUCUUGUUGGGUCAAGGGUAUACAAGUAGCUGUGCUCCCCUGUUAGAACCUCCAAACAAGCUCUCAAAGUAAUUAUGGCUGAAUUGCUUGGUUUCAAGUUAAUUUUAGUAGAAGGGCAAUCUGAAUAUAAUCACUUAUACACCUUA